GGCUGUUUGCAGUGCGGCGUCUGUUACUUCCUAUGUAAGUGAUGCUUCUGGAUAGGUAGAAGGGACAGCUAGUUUUCCUCUUAAGCAAGGACCUUAACUGAAGGAUGAAUAUUUUUGCUUUCAGGGAUUUAUUUUUUGGGACAGGUGGAGAAGUGUCCUAUUUGUGAAGCAUUGCUUCUUGGAUCAGGAGGGGAGCUGGGCUGCUUCACUGGCUCUGCACGUGGAGAGUCUGCGGAUAGAGAGAAGAAGCUGAGCUUUGGAUUGUGCUGUGUGAGGGAGUUCUUUAGUCCAGGCAUGGGUCUAUAAAUGGUCCUAAUUCACCAGUGCCUACAGAGGUGGAUUGUCAUCAGGCACACAAAAGGGCCUGGGCAGCAAGACCAC
rnacentral:lncRNA from 1 species